CGGACUGGGAUUUCUAAUAAAAAUCCAACUGGGACUGGGAUUUUGCCAAAAUUUCAGGUGGAAAAUGGGAUUGGGACCCCCCCCCCCCCCCCUUCAGGACCCUCACUAUAGGCUAAUGACUCGGCAAAAUUACCAAACAACAGUCGGCAAAAGAUCACUCACACACCCCCACUCGAAGAGGGUUAGCGCCACCCCUGGUUGGGAGGGGGGAGGGGGG